UCAGUAAUAGGCUAAAAGUAUACAGAAGUAACCGGUUGGCCAUAAUUAGAUGAAACUGAAGAUUUUAUAAAGAACUUCAUAGAAGAAUUAUAUAGGUUCUAAAGAAUCACCAUUGUUGGGAUUGUAAGGCUGCUAAACUUUUUUUAACCCUAUUUGAUAAGAUUACGGGAACUGUGUGUGUGUGUGUGUCAAAAUUAAACUCUUCUUUUCAGGUUCGUGAGUAUGAAUUAAGGAAGGAUAAUUUUUCAGACACUGGAAACUUUGGGUUUGGUAUUCAGGAACAUAUUGAUUUGGGUAUCAAAUAUGACCCGAGUAUUGGCAUAUAUGGCUUGGAUUUUUAUGUCGUCCUGGGCCGUCCGGGGUUCAAUAUUGCUCACCGUAGGAGGAGGAAAAGCAUUAUUGGUGCAAAACAUCGUAUUAGUAAGGAAGAAGCAAUGAAGUGGUUUCAGCAAAAGUAUGAUGGCAUCAUUCUUCCAAGCAAGAGUGGAAAGUAACAUACAGUUCUCUACUUUUGUAUCAUGAAGCCUUAAAUAAAUCUAUAUAAUUAAACAUC